rnacentral:lncRNA from 1 species
UCAACAUGACAACAACGAAAUGCGAUCAGAGUCUGCAAUGUUUAUUUUUGUAUUGUUUACAAGUUCAGUGGAGAUAAUUCACACAUAAUCAAAUAAAUUCGGCAAGAGCUCUCCUUUUUACCAAAUCGAUAACCUGAUUGUGCGUCUGUUUUUUUCGUCCGUAAUUGAUAUUUGUCAACGGUUUUUUUUUCUACGCCUUCUAUGCUCUUUAGGCCAAUUUCGUUCUAUUCGUUGCCGUUCUAGGACGCACGCUAUAGAGACGUUUUCCCGUAAAUGUUGCCAACGAUGGCUGAGAUGGAUUUGAAAUUCACAUUUUAUUGUUUUGCAGAUACCCGUAAAUGUUGCCAGCAAUUGAUGAGAUUCCGAUGCCGAGUUCUCCACAUUAUAGGCCUGGGUAACACUAUGUUGAGUUUCGCUUUUGAGUU